rnacentral:sRNA from 1 species
AAAUCUAAGCCAUCCAUUCUCUUUGCAGUGUGCGAAGGGUAAGACAACUGCAAAAAUGUGAAAUAACAGCAUUUUGGCCAAAACAAGUCUGCAUAUGCUGGCAUAUUACAGAGAGACAGAAUUCAAGUCUCAAAAAUAGAUUCAAUUUCCUUUCACAUUUAU